GUGAACGCUGGCGGUAGGCCUAACACAUGCAAGUCGAACGGCAGCACAGUAAGAGCUUGCUCUUACGGGUGGCGAGUGGCGGACGGGUGAGGAAUACAUCGGAAUCUACUUUUUCGUGGGGGAUAACGUAGGGAAACUUACGCUAAUACCGCAUACGACCUACGGGUGAAAGCAGGGGAUCUUCGGACCUUGCGCGAUUGAAUGAGCCGAUGUCGGAUUAGCUAGUUGGCGGGGUAAAGGCCCACCAAGGCGACGAUCCGUAGCUGGUCUGAGAGGAUGAUCAGCCACACUGGAACUGAGACACGGUCCAGACUCCUACGGGAGGCAGCAGUGGGGAAUAUUGGACAAUGGGCGCAAGCCUGAUCCAGCCAUACCGCGUGGGUGAAGAAGGCCUUCGGGUUGGAAAGCCCUUUUGUUGGGAAAGAAAAGCAGCAGGUUAAUACCCCGCUGUUCUGACGGUACCCAAAGAAUAAGCACCGGCUAACUUCGUG
rnacentral:rRNA from 1 species